AUUGAACGCUGGCGGCAGGCCUAACACAUGCAAGUCGAACGAGUGGCGGACGGGUGAGUAAUGUCUGGGAAACUGCCCGAUGGAGGGGGAUAACUACUGGAAACGGUAGCUAAUACCGCAUACCAUCGGAUGUGCCCAGAUGGGAUUAGCUAGUAGGUGGGGUAACGGCUCACCUAGGCGACGAUCCCUAGCUGGUCUGAGAGGUUGACCAGCCACACUGGAACUGAGCCACGGUCCAGACUCCUACGGGAGGCAGCAGGUGGGAAAAUUGCACAAUGGGCGCAAGCCGGAUGCAGCCAUGCCGCGUGAAUGAAGAAGGCCUUCGGGUUUUAAAGUACUUUCAGCGAAGAGGCGUUACUCGCAGAAGAAGCACCGGCUAACUCCGUGCCAGCAGCCGCGGUAAUAC
rnacentral:rRNA from 1 species